UACGUAGGGUGCAAGCGUUAAUCGGAAUUACUGGGCGUAAAGAGUGCGCAGGCGGUUUUGCAAGACCGAUGUGAAAUCCCCGGGCUUAACCUGGGAACUGCAUUGGUGACUGCAAGGCUAGAGUGUGUCAGAGGGAGGUGGAAUUCCGCAUGUAGCAGUGAAAUGCGUAGAUAUGCGGAGGAACACCGAUGGCGAAGGCAGCCUCCUGGGAUAACACUGACGCUCAUGCACGAAAGCGUGGGGAGCAAACAGGAUUAGAUACCCUGGUAGUCCACGCCCUAAACGAUGUCAACUAGUUGUUGGGGAUUCAUUUCCUUAGUAACGUAGCUAACGCGUGAAGUUGACCGCCUGGGGAGUACGGCCGCAAGGUUAAAACUC
rnacentral:rRNA from 1 species